rnacentral:tRNA from 1 species
GCAAUAGCUCAGUUGGUAGAGCAUGAGACUCUUGAUCUCAGGGUUGUGGGUUCGAGCCCUGUGUUGGACA